UAACGGCGAGUGAAGCGGCAACAGCUCAAAUUUGAAAUCUGGCCCCCCGGCCCGAGUUGUAAUUUGCAGAGGAUGCUUUUGGUGAGGCACCUACCGAGUCCCCUGGAAUGGGGCGCCAUAGAGGGUGAGAGCCCCGUAUGGUAGGACGCCGAACCUCUGUAAAGCUCCUUCGACGAGUCGAGUAGUUUGGGAAUGCUGCUCUAAAUGGGAGGUAAAUUUCUUCUAAAGCUAAAUACCGGCCAGAGACCGAUAGCGCACAAGUAGAGUGAUCGAAAGAUGAAAAGCACUUUGAAAAGAGGGUUAAAAAGUACGUGAAAUUGUUGAAAGGGAAGCGCUUGUGACCAGACUUGCGCCGGGCGGAUCAUCCAGCGUUCUCGCUGGUGCACUCCGCCCGGUUCAGGCCAGCAUCGGUUUUCGCCGGGGGACAAAGGCUUCGGGAACGUGGCUCCUUUCGGGGAGUGUUAUAGCCCGUUGCGUAAUACCCCGGCGGGGACCGACGACCGCGCUUCGGCAAGGAUGCUGGCGUAAUGGUCAUCAGCGACCCGUCUUGAAACACGGACCGAGGAGUCAAGCAUUAGUGCGAGUGUUUGGGUGUAAAACCCGCACGCGUAAUGAAAGUGAACGUAGGUGAGAGCUUCGGCGCAUCAUCGACCGAUCCUGAUGUUUUCGGAAGGAUUUGAGUAGGAGCAUUAACGCUUGGACCCGAAAGAUGGUGAACUAUACUUGAAUAGGGUGAAGCCAGAGGAAACUCUGGUGGAGGCUCGCAGCGGUUCUGACGUGCAAAUCGAUCGUC
rnacentral:rRNA from 1 species